UGUUUCAACCUCAGCUUAUAGUCCUGUUGUCCAGACUGAAGGCAACAUUGAUGCGAGUGCAGAAGUGACAACUAAUCUGAUAGCAGUGGUGAUGACCGCAGUAGUGUCUCUGUGUGUCCUCAUAACACUGAUUAUAUGUGUGAUUCUUUAUUUCAGAAAACAAAGGCGCAAUAUCAACAGCCAAACUGAAUUGAACUGUAGGGGUUCUGCAUAUUAUUCUGAAAUUUCUGGAGGAUUGGAUGUCCCGUUGUAUUCUGUAGUUCAACGUGGGAGAGAAGAACUCUGCUCCUCUGAGGAGGCUGGUGGAUGAGACAUGCAGGAACAGAAGGAGGCGCUGCAAUCCUGCAAUCAAGUAGCUCUAUAGAGUGUUUGACUGAGAGAAAAGAUAAUGGUCGAGUAUUGAAUGUAAUUUUUUCUUAUAAAUAAGAUUUCAUGUUUGGAAUACUUAAUUUUUAAAACAAAGAGUAAUUAUGACUUGUUCCCUAUGUGCUUGGUGCAGUAUUUAGAAUAAGACAUUAUGCAGUGUCUAUUUAUACAGUAAUGCUCAGUGAGGCCUGCAGAGGGCAGUGUGUGUCUCUUUAAAAUAACGGCUUGUCUAGACUGCUUCUCUAAUCUCUUACUGUAAAGCCUUAUCCAAACUCAAAAAUUAUCUUUCCUAAAAUCAGCUUGCAAACACUAAUCCUUCCUGCUAUAGGGUGAAAAAUCAAUGUCACAACCUGUUUAUCACAUCGCACGUCCUGGAAAUCACAGAAGAACCUCUCGAUCAGACCGUGUUACAUAAAACAAACGUUAGGCCAAGGCUAUCUGUCUUUCUUGGCACGAGUCUGUCUUUCUCCUUAAUAUCUGUACAGUUCUAACUGCAUAGUUCUGCUGAUACUUAAAUGUCUUUUUUGUGUUAAAACAUAUAGGCUAAAAAAGAAUAUAUAUUAAAUGUGCUAUGGUAUUUUCUUAUGUGGAGUCUGGCUUAAUUUCUCCUUAAUAU